UCCAUUAGCUUUGCGAUUGCAAGGAAGCUUCCUCUUGUGCCUUACUAUAGCCAACACUGCCUAGAACGACCUGCAGCCGCCUAUCCUUGUUCUAGUCUCCCUCUUCCGAGAGCUUCUAAUGGAUCCGGUGAGCAUUGCCGCCGUAGGGUGGGGCAUCUCGACCGCAGGUUGGCUUGUCUCUCCAAUCAUCUCCAAGCUCCUCAACAAAUGCUCCUCCUACCUUGGUUUUCGCUCGUCGGAUGAGCUCGAGAAACUCGAGAGCAAAGUACUACAGAUGAAGCUGAUGCUUGAAGCAGCUGAGGCCAAUCCUCAGAGGGGCAGAUUGGAGCAGUGGACGACGAAGCUCAAGUCUGCUUUCUACGAAGCCGAAGACAUCCUUGACGAAAUUGAUUAUCACCAGCUGGAAAAUAGUGUCCUAUCUAAAACGAAUUUUCGACGCCGCACGAAGCAGGAUGCUGAAAUCAAUGUUCCUAGAUUGUUAAGAGAGAAACUGGAGUUUACCUUAAAAAGGAUAGAAACCCUAAUCAAUCAAGGACAGGGACUUCUUCCAUGGGUCAAGUUGCCAGCCACCUGUUGCAAUAUCAAGAAUACACCGAACAAUACUGUGACAUCGCCCACUAGAACUACUACUUCAACUCCACCAGUUGAAGUAUUUGGCCGUGAAGAUGAUCGUAAAAUGAUAAGAAGAAUGCUUCGUGAUACACCUGCUGCUGAUAAAUCAAGCUCAAGUAGAACUAAAUGUUAUUCCGUAAUUGGUAUCCAUGGCAUUCCAGGUUCAGGGAAGACGACCCUCGCACAGUAUGUUUGUAAACAUGAAAGGGAAGAUGCUUAUUUCGACCUCGUCAUGUGGAUUCAUGUUUCUCAGAAUUUCAGUGUGAAUACUGUUUUCACUGAGAUGUUGGAGAUAGCAUCAAGUAAGAAACAGGAUCAGCUUUGUAAUCUUGACAUGUUGCAAAGGGAAUUGGAAGCAAAACUGAGAGGCAAAAGGUUCUUCUUGGUACUGGAUGACGUCUGGAAAGGUGUCAGUGACCAGCAACUGGAUCGAUUACUUUCUCCAUUGAUGGUUGGGAAGAUGGGAAGCAAAAUAUUGGUGACCACUCGAUCUGCAGAUGCAGCAAGAGCUCUUGGUGCUCAGAAACCGGUUUCAAUGCCUGAAAUGGAUAAGGACCGAUACUUGAAAAUGUUCAUGUAUUAUGCACUUGGUACCAUGAGUAGUGACCAAGCAUUAUUUACAGAGCAUUAUUUGAUUGGGAGAAAAAUUGCUGAAAAGCUACGACGAUCACCUCUGGCAGCAAGAACAGUGGCAGGACAGCUAAGGAGAAGACUAGAUAUUGAUUUUUGGAGAAGGUCCCUGAACCGUGACUUGUUCAGUGAUACUAUGGGAGCUCUAUGGUGGAGCUACCAACAACUUGAAGAGCAUGUCAAGCAAUGUUUCACAUAUUGUAGUAUGUUCCCCAGAAGAUAUCAGUUGCAGCGAGACGAGCUAGUUCAUCUGUGGAUAGCACAAGGGUUUGUGGGUACGGAAGAUAUCGGUUAUGACUGCUUUGAUGUGCUACGAUCAUGCUCAUUUAUUCAACCAAAAGGAAAACUUACUAGUGGUAUAGAGUACUUUACAGUUCAUGAUCUAUUGCACGAGUUAGCGGAAAGAGUUGCUGGAAGUGACUGUUUUAGAUUUGAGAAAGGUAAGAGGGUGGAUCAAAUUCCUCGAGAUGUUCGGCAUCUUUUUAUUUCCUAUGGCGUAAGAGUCCCUACAGAGCAGAUUUUGAAGCUGCGUACCUUGCGCACUCUAAUAAUGUCUGGAUAUGCCGAGAAAAUGACUAAAGAAGAUUUCGAGCGCAUGCUCAUGAGUCUAAAGAAGCUGCGGGUGGUGCAUGUAAGGCUCGAAAUUUUGCAUGAGAUCCCAUCAUGUAUUGGUCAAUUAAAACAUCUUCGCUAUCUUCGUCUUUAUGGGUCCGAUUUCGUCAAGAUAAUUCUGCCACCCACAUUUACCAAGCUCUACCAUCUGCAGAAGUUCUAUGUCUCACGUGACACCAUUCUGCAUUGUUCCUCCGGUGUGGAAAUGCCCAAUCUUGUCAAUUUGCGGCGCAUAUUAUGUCGCGAGUUCAACUUUCCUAACAUAGGGAGGAUGACGUGGCUCCGAACUCUGCGUGUCUUCAGGGUGAGGAAGACAAGGGGUUAUGAGAUACAGCAGCUGGAGCACCUGGACAACCUUCGUGGAACCCUAAACAUCGAAGGACUUGAAAAUGUUGAUAGCGGGGUGGAAGCUCGUCAGGCCAAGCUAGAUAAGAAGGUACAUGUCUCUGAUCUGGCACUUGAUUGGAAAACCUAUAAGAUAUCGGAAAACCAUGAUGGCCGAAAGUCAAAGAACUCAUUUAGGCCCCCAAGACAUUUUCGCAUUCAAGAGGAUGUCCUUGAGGCCCUCCGUCCACCGCCCGGGAUCACAUCACUGGAAAUCAAAAACUACAGUGGAUCGACAUACCCAAGUUGGCUGUCGGGAAAACAGGGCACCCUACAGAACCUGAAAUGUCUCCACUUCUCAAGUUGCAAUGGAUUGGAUGCUCCCCUCAAGAUUAGCAAAUUUCUCGUGUACUUGCGUAAACUUAUUGUUUCAUACUGCAGCUGGAAAUCUUUGCCUGAGAACAUGGAACAUCUAAAAUCUCUCGAGGAAUUAAUUAUUGGUAACUGCUCGGAGAUCCGAUCACUGCCAAGAUUACCUAAGUCCCUAAAGAAACUUUCACUUUCCCAGUGUAACCGCUCUCUCGUGAAAAGCUGUCAGACGGUUGGACAUCCAAAUCGGCAGAAGAUUGAGCAUAUCCCUGAGAAACGCAUUUUUUAACUUUCCUUUGCAACUACAUGUAGCAGCAGUCUGCACGGGUCAGAGGAUGCACGGAGCUGAUGGAGUAUCAUGGAGGCACACAACUAUACGAGCCUAAGCCCCCUUCAACACGCCCACUUCUCGAUCCAGCUUCUCUGCAGUCCCUCCCGCAUGCUCGGGUGUCAUAUUGGUCGUGUGUAUCAAUGAUGUGAAGACAAUGUUUCGUAUUUCAUUUGUGACUAUGUGCACGGGACAUGGCUUUAAGGUUUUGUAUUUGAAACGGAGUCCGUUUUCGGUACAGGAAGAUGGAUGCAUCAGCGCAUUUCUGGGGGUUCUUCAUGCGUCUACAGAUGAAUUAGAGGAGGCUGGCUAGUGGCUAUGCCAUAAGAAUUUGGUGGCAACUGAUGAUCUUUUCUGCUUCUCUGCUAGUGAUUUGGUCUUCUAAUUGCUGAGAGUGACUAGGGGGUAACCGUUUCACCCAAAGUUUUAAAGCUUCCCCAUUACUGUCGAUGUUGCAUCCCCAAUUCUUUUCUUUAAGAUUUUCGGAAGAUUUUACAAUUUUCUGCUAGGGAUUUUAUCUUUUAGCAUCUUUUCUUCUUGCUCCUAUUAUUCUGUAUAGCUUUUCAUUUCAUGAGUACAAUUUUUUGUGUUUAUCUUUGUCGUGAAAAGCAGUAGACGGAGAUUGCCAUUCAAUCAUAUUGGGACAUGGCUUUAUUGUUUUGUAUUUGAAAUGGAGUCCAGUUUGGGAACAGACAAUUUGUUACACAUUUGUAAUUUGUGGCCUGCGUAUUCUGUUCCUGCAAUGUGUAUGUAGGAGCUGGUUAUUACUCUACAUGUUUCAAAAACCCAAUGUAUCGUCAUUUUCAAAGCUGCUACGAAUUUCUGGAACCAAGACCUUUUUUUGUUGGAGUCAGUGAACCAUUGAUUUCCUUGGAAUAGAAAGAUGGAUGCAUCAGCGCAUUUAGCUCUCGGAAAA